AGGCUCCUUGCGGGCCAGCCCGGCGGAUCGUGGAGAGGAGGAGCUGGCAGGGCUGAGUUGGCGGCGGGGCAAAGAGGGUUCACUUACUGGCGGCCGCGAGGGCGCGGGUGGGCCGGAGCUCACUGGGACGACCCCAGGGCAGCGGCGGCUGAGCGGGAGCCGGAGCCGGAGCGGCGCGGGCGGCGGCGCAUCGAUGCGCUGCGGGCUCGAUUGCGUCUCCCUGGGCCAGCUAUUGGGCCGGGAAUGGGGCGGCAGCGGCGGGGCCGGCUCCGGGCGUUGCCGGUCGGCGGUGGCGGGAGUGCGGGGGCGGUCGCCAGGCCCACCGUCCCUUAGGCGGUGCUGCUUCUAGGCGCGCCGCUGGGGCCCAGGGAGUCCCCUGUGCGCCGCGUGCGAGAGUCCGGGCGAGGGCCGAAGCCCCGCGCCCUGGGACUGACUGCCUGAGCGCUCUGGGAGCUGCAAACCCCGGCCUUCUUCCGUCUUUCCCAACCCGCCCCCCCCGCCUUAUGUUUCUUUUUUAGUCUCUUUCUCCCUCUUCUUCUGCCCCCUCUUCUCUUUAUUUUUUCCUUGUGAUUGUUUUUUUUUUUUUUUUUUUUUUUGCAAGUUUGUUUUAAAAGUUCACAGGCAUACUUUCUUUUCUUUUAGACCUGGAGACCUCGAUCUCACCCUGACGGUAAGAUCAAAAGUCUCCGCUCGCCCCCAGCCUGCGAGCUUGGGCUCGGUCCAGACGCCUCCCUGAAUGCAGAUGCGCUGCCGCCGUCCUCGGGGGCUAUAAAGCCGCCUCCUGCGCCUUGGCGUGCGCAGGAGCGCACCGAGUUGCGGGAUGCGGACCCCGGGCGGUUGCGGGGAGUUGGAGUCUAGCUGCGGCUGGGCCCCGGGCUGGCCUCGUGCGGCAGACUCCGGGGCGGGCGCGUGGCGCGGAACUGGUGCCUGCGGCCGCAGAGGCCAAAGCAACUGUCCCUCCAGGCCCGGGAGACGCGGGCGUGGGGCGUGAAACGCUUCUUGCGAAGGAGAAAACGGCUGCGUUCAAGAUCCUGGCAAAGACCCGUUUGGAGCCCCGCAUGACAUGUGCAGUCACCUCGGCCGGAUGCCGCUCGGUGGGAAGUGAUGUCUGCAAGACAGGGGCCAGGCAGGCUGGACGAUUGCCUUUGAAUCCCCUCUCGCGGUGGAGACCAGGAACACCCACCCCACGCAGCCUUGGCUCCAGCCCCGGGGUGACUGCCAGCCCGGUGGCAGACCUUGCCCUGCCAAUCUCUGCCCCCUCGGUGAUUCUGUUGUCGUGCUCGCCAAAAGCAGAAUCCGUGUAUAAUGAACAAGUUUCAUGUUCAACAUUUUAAGUGUCUAUUUAUGAGUCCCGAUAAUUAGCCCUUUGUCUGCAAUUCCAGCGAUGAUGAUUAGAAUCCCAUCUCACGUUAUUAGUGUCGCUCCCAAACUCGUCCUCCUCGCCUGGAGGAUCACCAGCAGGCGGGCACCUGAUGGGCCAGGAGACGGGCAAUUGGGGCAGCGGGGCUCUCUUCCCUGCCCCGUCCUUCAGCAUCCCUCCUUCUCUGAUCCACUCCUUCUCUGGCUUUACCUGCAUUCAGGCUUCUCAGAAUCAGUCUUCUUUGCUUUUGUUCUUAAACUUGUCUUCUGCCUCAUCCCACUCUCAGCCCCAAAGGCUGCCUUCUUUACAUAAAGCCCUGCAGACAAUAUUGGUGCCUAUUGCAAAAUCUUGUCAGGAUAUUGUGAGGUUUAAGAUUCGUUCCAAAUGAACCAUUCCCAGAAUCAAAAUAUUACGAGGGAGGCCAAAUUAUCUCUAAUUAUAACCUCCAGAAAAUGAGAGAACUUUCCCAACCAGUGGAACCAGGGAAGCAACCUAAAGAAAUAUUUUCAAGGAGAGUAAUAUUCUUUUUUUUUUAAGCGAUCAAAUCAUGUAAGCAUACAAAUAAAUGUAUUUUAAUAAGGGUAAAAUUACUAGUUAAUGAGUUUGCUUUGGGGUUUUGUAUCUUUGAUGUAAAAAUAUAUAAAUGCUUUUAUUAAGGUUGUACCUAUUAUUUUCUAAAUGAACACAAACACAAAAUCUAAUCCAUUUAGCAAUAUUAUAUUUUAACAUAUCACUUACUCCCUCUGACACUUCUUAUUAGUCUACACUCUAGAAAACUGAAUAAUAACCCAUACCUCACACAAACUCUCAAUGUCCUUUAUGACUGUAAAAGGAAUUUGGAUUUUUGAUGAUAUCACAGCAAUGAAAACAGAGUUGAAAAGCCAGGGCUUGUUUGCACAGAAGCCAGGGCCAACCUUGGGUCUUGGAAGUGAGUGGGAUCCUCGUGUUCCUGUCUUAGCCUGUUUCUGCCAGUGCCUGAGCCUGGUGAUGCCUGUAGCCGUUCCUACCACCCUGCCCAGGACUCCUGGGGAGCCACA
rnacentral:lncRNA from 1 species